UCUCGGCUUAUCACCGGCAGUCCCCCUAGAGUGCCCAGCUGAAUGAUGGCAACUAAGGGCGAGGGUUGCGCUCGUUGCGGGACUUAACCCAACAUCUCACGACACGAGCUGACGACAGCCAUGCACCACCUGUACACCGACAAAAGGGGCCCCAUCUCUGAGGCGGCAGGGUGUAUGUCAAACCCAGGUAAGGUUCUUCGCGUUGCAUCGAAUUAAUCCGCAUGCUCCGCCGCUUGUGCGGGCCCCCGUCAAUUUCUUUGAGUUUUAACCUUGCGGCCGUACUCCCCAGGCGGAUGACUUAACGCGUUAGCUGCGCCACCGAAACGCUAAGCGCCCCGACAGCUAGUCAUCAUCGUUUACGGCGUGGACUAC
rnacentral:misc_RNA from 1 species